CUGUCAAAUCACGCUGAAAACACUGGCUCUCAUUCAAUUACCAAAGUUAAGCAGCAUCAAGCCCGGUCAGUACUUAGAUGGAGAACUGUGUGGGAACAUUAGGUACUGUAAG